AUGGACCAGUUCCUUCUUGGAGAUGGAGCUGAAGGUCUCGGCAAUCGCACCCCGGCUGGCAGCGCUGUUCCCGGCUCCCUGCAGCAAAUCCACCUUCAGGGCUUUGUGGUACCUCUCCUUGAGAAAGAAGCCAAAGUUUUAAUGAAGAUUUGAAAUCUGGAACAUUCUGACCCUGACAGGCCACAUUGGUACAUCUUGGGAGUUGUGGUUUAAUGGCCUUGUGCCUGUCUGGAAAGGCCUGGCCCUUGCCUGGACUUCCCCAGGGCAUUGUGAUUCCCUCUCCCAGGGAAAGACAGGAGUGUUUCAUGGGAGGUGGGUGGUUGCAGUAGAUGAUGUAGUCCAAAUCAAGGACAGGGACUGAAGGAAGUAGGAAAACCUUUCACCAGCUUGGAUUCAGUCCAAUGGCUGAACUGAAUCAAGCUUUGGUCAAGCCAAAAAUUUACAUGUGCCUUACAAGGCUUUAAGUCCACAAUGGAAAGUUUUUUAUUAAAAACAGAUAUAUUUGGGGAAAAGAAAUGUAGCAUGACUAACUUGGUUUUCCAGAGAAAACAGAAUUUGAUGUAUUGUUGCCCAAAAAUCUUGCUCUGCUAGAGACAGGCAUUCCCAAACCUUGGACACCUUUGCAGUAGUGGCUAUCAGCCAGUACAGUAAAUUACUAAAUACUGGACACUCCAGAGGAGUUUGUCAUAAAGUGACACAUACUGACUGCCUAGUUUGGCUGGGCACGGCAUGGCUUUUAAAUUUUUAUCAUUUUGAUCAUUUGAAAUUUGACCUCUUUCUAUUCAAAACAAAACCCCCUAAAUGUCUGUUUUCUGUGAAAGCUGAGCAGAGCUGGAGUGGUGCAGCCUGUAGUUCCCCACCAGGGGUGCUUGGUGGCUGAGGGCCUGGAUAUCACUGUCAUGUGGAGGGUGUGAUGGCUGUGUGCUGCCACAGUGAUUCUCCUGGUUGUGCUCUUGUGCUGUAACGCUCUGCCAUGCUGACAAGCGUUCGAGAAGUUUAUGAAUGUCACCCUGCUUUUUCUCAUGGUCAUUCUGCUGUGGGGCCAACCUGGUCCUGCAGACCCUGGGAACCCUGAGGUCCUUGACCUGUGCUGCUAUAUCAGGAUCUGUGCUGUUAUACCAAGAUCAUUUAGGUGCAUGGCACAGAUCUACUCCUCAGCCUAUAUGAUAUAGUCAUUCUCGCCAGCAGCUUAAAUAGAGUUCUUGUUUUGAAGCAGGGAAACUGCAACCCCUUCUACUUUCCUGCUCAUUUAGAAAGUAAUGGAAAGCAAAAAGAGCUUGGCUGGUGUAAACUGGAAGUGGCUCCAUUAGCUUCCACAGAGCUACUUUGGUUUGAAUCAGGGAAAGCUUUUCUCUGAGCAUUAUUCCCAGGUGUGGGGACCAGGAUGGGGAGGUGUUUCUACAGGCCUCAGUGGAGGAGAGACAAGCUUCUCCUGCCACCUGGGAUGAGUGAGAGGCAGCAGCUCAUCCCUCCUUACCCAGCUGUCCGUUGCGGGAGUCGUCACAGCCACAGUUGUCAAAAUCCCCCAGGCUGCAGUUCCGGGUCAGCGUGUACAUGACACCUGCAGAGCUGAUGGCGUGGACAAAGGCUGUUUCUCGGUUUGCUGUCAGGGGGGAAUACAAAGAGAGCAGGUGUGCUAAAGAUUUCAUGGCAAGGGCAGUGCUAGAAAUUGUUCCUACCGUGCAGGAGUCUGCACAGGACAUCUGUAGUGGGGAAGACUUUGUGGGGUGGAGAAGAGGCACUACAUAUCAGAUUACCUUAGUUUUGGCUUGAACUGCAUGAAGAUAGAAGCUCCCAAAUAUGAUCUGGACUGACUCAUGUCAUUUGAAAGAGUGUGGAGGAGACAGCACCUGGCUGUCCUUGUGGGAGCUCAACAGUGGUGAUACAGCACAGACUGCCAAUGUCCCCCACUUCUCACUAACACUCCCCCUACAAGAAGGGGUCCACUCCAAGUAUUGAAGAGCUCCUUCCCCACAGUCCCCUCAAGCCAUAUCUUCUGCUGAAAGGGCUCUGAGCAGUGACCAUACCUACCCACCAGGAUCAGUCUGAGAAUCAUCAGCUGGCUUCACUGAGCCUUUGGCUUUCCUUUAAUACCAGCAAGGUGUGGAUCUGAGCAGAUAACCCUGACAGGAAUGGUUCCAGGACCUGCUUCUGGUCUCAGAGCAGGCCUUGUGCUGCAACUGUCUCCUCAAGGUCCCAUUUGAAGAAACCUUUGUCCAUCUUUGUCCAUCUCUCCCUAGAGCUCUGGUCUCUUGUCUGCUGCUAGUCCCACCAGAGGCCUGAGCUCUCCUCCACACCCAGGUCCUGCUUUUACAGAGCAGGUAUGAGCCCAGGCCAGCAUCAAACAUAGGUCUAGAGGGCCAGAUAUACACUGAAAUAUUUCCUGGCACCUGCAAAUAGGUAAGGAAUAGGAUACAGUGACAAUGAUCACUGCCCCAUGCCCUACAGUGGCCCAGGUCAGGGAUGCUAGAUAUCUGCCUAGGGUGAUUCUGACAUCUGGAAAAUGUAGAAAGGCUUUUGUCCUGCCUCUUGGCCAGAGCACAGCCACUGAUGAACUUUCCUGCUCCCUUUAGCUUUAUCCUUCUGAUUGCUAUCUAGCCAGCCUGUGCUGGUUCUUAGCUUCCCUGGAAUACCCUGGGACACCAUCUAGGCAUGGUGUCCAGCAGGCUGUGUGCAGGUCAGGGGGUGCAUCCUUGUGGGGAGGCAGUUUUGUAAGGGUUGGUCCUGUGCCAGUUGGGGUUCAGCAGCUCCAUGGGCAAAGCUGGCAUUGCAAGGAGGCCUUGGAGCUAGAUCUGAGUGUAUCUGGGAGCUAAUGGGUGAAGGGGUCUCCUGGGAAGAUCCCUCUGGGGGAUUCCUGGGAGAGGCACUUCCCAGGUGGGAAUGGGGAAGAAAAGGAGACACUUGGGAAGAGAGGAGGGGGCUAUGGGCUCUAACCUGUAGCAAGGGGGUCCCAGUAGUGGUAUCCAAUACUUUCCUUACCACUGCGCAGCCCACCGUGGCUGGAGAGCUGCAGGGCCCUCUCCGGGCAGUUCCAGCGGUCCCAGGCGAACUGGAACUUGCACUCCUCGAUGCCGCUCUGCGCCCCAGCCGCCACACUGCUGGAGUAGAUGAGAUAGGCCUAGGAGCAGAGCUGGGGGUCAGCACGGGGACGAUGCAUAUUUUCAACUGAAAGUAACCUGUGUGCCAUCUUACAAAGACAACACAUACAGAGCUCAGAAGGUCUCCCUGGCUUGGCUUCCUUGGGGAGAUCACCACCACCAGCAACAAACCCAUUUCCUGCUGAUCUGGGUCAGAGUCUGAGCCUACUGUGGGAGAAAGCUCAGCUCUUGGCUGUUAGCCCCAUUAGGAAAUGUGCCAGUCCACCUCUGCCACGGGGAACCCCUUAUCUCUCCACCAUGAGAGGAAACAGAGCUUUCUGCUCAGAUCAGGGAGCUCCAGGCUAGCAGAUGCCUCAACCUGCCUUCUUCUUCACCACAGCCCAUGGGGGAGAGCUAGUGCACUGGGACAAGGUUGCUCCAGCAGUGUAUUGGGAGCUAGAUGGGCCUGGAGGUGUUCCUGGGGAAUAGCCAGAACAAAAUCUGGGUAAAUUUUACAACUGGCCAUGGCUAAGAAAAAAAGCCUCUGAAAGAGGAGCAUAAGGAUGUGAUGGGUCAAAAAUAUAGAACAAAGUCCUGGCAAUGCUAGUUGUGCUCCUUGAGGAAGUAUGUUUUACAGGGCCUGCAGAAAAUACUUUCUGGCUGGAUCAGUGUGCCCCCUGAUGCCAACCUGAUCCUCAGGUUGUGAGGUGACAGCCUUGGCUGGUGAAUAUAAACACAUCUCCAGAAUCUGGCCCCAACCAGCUUAAAAGAACCCCAGGUCAGCAUUGCUCAGGGCUCAUGCAGCCCAAAGAGCUCACAAGUUCCUGGCCUUUCUCUGCCUUAUUGCUGGAAACCUGGGGGUGAGGGGAGCUCUGGCCAAGGCUGGGUGGAGAGGAGUGGGAAGCAGGAGCCCCUCUCUCUCUCUCCUUCCCUCCCUGGGUUUAGUGGAAUCAGGGACAGAGAUCAAAGGGAUUUCUCUUACCUUGGGGCCCGUCAUCAGGAAAUUAUUCACUGACCUGGAAGAUAGAGACAGUGUCAGCAGGGAGGGGGUGAUGGUGGAGGGGUCUGGGGAAUGCCAGGCAUCCCAGGGCUCUCCUCUCACUCCCCCACAGUCUGCCUGUCUCCUGGCUGCAGGCACUUCUGGUCUUUCCCCCAUGUUCCUUUGCUGCUCCCUAAGGGACAGGACAGUGCUGUCCCCUUCCCCCCAUCCUGGUCCUCUCAGUCAAGCUGUACUGGGCUACAGUUCCUUCACUGCUCCCUCCUUUUGCUUUCCUCUGCUCAGCUAUCCUUUGUACCAAUCCACCCCUUAUUUAGCUUUCUGGUUCCCCUAGCCUUGCUUUUUACCUCACUUGGCUAAACUCAUGGUAGCAUUUCCCCCAGCCCCAGGAGUGGGACCAUGUUGAUGGAAGGAGGGCAUCACACCACUGCUCCUUUGCAAUAUGUAUCCAGAUGCAUCUCUCCACAUCACAAUCCCUUGUUUUCCUGUGGUGCCGUGUCUGACUGCCCAUACUUCCUCUUGGUCAGGUUAUGGUGAUGGCUGAGCACAAAUAUACCUGUCUUUCCCAUCCUCCUGGACACUUUGCAGGGGAUCCUGGGGGUUUGGGGUAGGUGGAAGGUCCUAGACAAAACUAAGCUUUCUGCUGUUCCCACUGAAGGUGUGGAGGGAUCACCUCCAAGGGUCAGGCAGUGUGGCUUGUCUCCAACACUGUCCCUAUGGCCUUGCAGAACUGAUGCUGUCUGGUCUUUCAGUAAGAAAGACUGUUUCUGUGCAAAUGGUCAGUCAGCACUGGGACUCCAUAUGGUGCAAUGACCGCCUGCAGAAUUUGGAGAAUGGCUGGGUGAAUCCUGCCUGGCUACAUCAUGACAGAAAGGACUGACACUUUGGAAAAUCCCAAGAGCCAACUCAAAAUAUCCCAAUUCAGAAAUUAAGUAAGAAAAGAGAGAGUCUCCUAAAAAUACCUAAUUCCACUUUCUCCCCAUUUGUAAAAUAAUACUCAUCACUAUUUCUGGUGAGUCUGUGGAGCAUUUUCCCUGCUGGAACCCAGCACUUCAGAGAAAUGGGUGACUGCUGUUAUCACCCAGGGAGGACACUGGGGUCAGAGAGGUGGAAUGAGUGGAUUGAGAUCUUGCAGUGAAUGAGUGAUUGGAAAAAUGACAGAGCAUGCACUGAUAGAAACUUGGUUCUUCAGCUUCUUCUCGAGAUUAUGUUCUGCUUCAAAUGAGCUACAAGUAUUCCCUCAUAAAGGAGAGAAAGAUAUUGUCUUUUUGUGCUACAAAUCCAGCACAGACACUGUGGGGGCAUCCCAGGGUGGGCUCAAGCACAGGAAGAAGCAGGCAAUGCUGUCCAAAGCUGAGGGUCAAAGUGCAGCCCUGCUAUAGACACAGGGACAGACAGGGUGGCAGGACUGGUCCACAGACAUCAGACACAUGAGACAUUCAGAGAGGAUGCUGUCCUGACCUGGAAAACCACUUGUGAAGUUAGCAAGCCCACUUCACCUCCACUAGAACUGCACCCACAGAGAUCCUUUCCAAAGCACACCACAAAAGGAGAUCUCAUUAUUUUAGCUUGGUCAAAAUCAUAAGAAACCUGAUCUUUGCUGUUACAGUUUAGAGUUAGGAGAAAUGAGUUUGCAACAUUUCAUUCUGGUGAGUCUAGCUUUCUUUUGUUUUGGUUUGGUUUUUGUGGGGUUUUUUGGUGAAAAUGGGUUUAUAUUGAUGAAGCUUUCUUUGGGAAAGAUUCCCCUGGGUCAAAACAAGAGUGGGCUGUGAGAACAGGAGAUUCUUUCCCUUUGUUCCAGCCUUGGGAUUCAGACCCGGCUGUGCUCCAGCCCCCAUGGGUACUUUAGCACGAAGUCGAUGGUUGUAUUGCAGAGGAAUUUUCCUUUGGAAGCUGCUUCUGCAUUGUACAGCUAAUUAAAUAUUUCCUGGGACUUGGAGAGACGGCAUCUGUAGCCGAGUGAUUAGAGCAUCGGGUGACCUGAAUCACACAGGGCCAUGAACCUGGGGCUAAUCAGACUGUGUAAGCUCCAUGGGUCCCCAUCCUAACGCAACUGGGUAGCAGCAUGAACAAGUCAUUUUUCCAUCUGGUUUCCCUUCUGUCCAUUGCCUUGACCUUAAGUGCUUUGCUAUGGGGACCACACUCAGGAUGGUGUCAGUGUGAAUCUGGGCCCCUGGUAGCAGCUGUGAGAAAACUCUGGUAAAAUGCUCCUGCGUAGGCAAGAGGUAGAAAAUUGCAAGUCCUCUCUUAUCUUGUUUUUGUCACCAAAAGAAGAUAUAUAUGCUGUCUGCAUUGCUUCCCAUGUGGGUAGGAAAACCCAGUUUCACAGUGUAUAGAAGGGAUUUGCCUCAAACCCUUGGAUUAGGUACAUAUGAGAAGUUGCAAGGACAGCUUUAGGAGGAGGAUGGUAAUCCACAACAUCAGUUUACAGCAAACCAGCCUGUUAGCAGGAGUCAGUUGACAAAGCUGCAUUGAAGCAGAGGAUCUGUUCCUUCCAGGAUAAACUUCAAGGUUCACAAAAAGGCCAAGUUCAGGAUAUGCCAAUUCUCCAUCUGCAGCUGAGCAAAUGAUACAGUAGCAAUUUCCCAGCAGGAUAUUCUAAACCGUUAAUAAAGUCAGAGAGACAGAAGGCAUUUUCCUUGAGCUCUCAGAUCAACAUGCAGGCAUGCUGCUGGCUGCGUUUAUAGGACUUAGACAAGUGAAGGAUUCACAGAGUUUCAAGUGUUUUGUGCACUUGACACCCCAACAUUUAACUCUUGCAGCUUCCCUUCAGGAGAAGGGAAGACGGGACUAUCAUAUGGCUGGAGGCUGGCUGAAAUCUUUUUUACUUGUGUUGAAGGGGAAGGAAAGAUAGGAAUGGAGACAGAAUAUAUGUGCUUUUCUUUGCUCUUAUAAUUUAGCUAAGAAAAAUGCAUCUCCUUUAUGUAUAUAGUCUCCAGUAAGGGCAGAGAGCAAUUAAGCCACUACUUACAUAGAUGUAGUACAAUAGUGACAGUGUCUCUAGAAUCAUCUCUGUGCUGCAAAUAGGAAUCACUACCAAAACCUCUCUUCAUUGUUUUCUCUGUAGUGUGAUUUUUUAAAAGAAAUUAUGUAUUUCUACUAAAUUUUCAUUCCAUUGUAAAGGAAAGUAGAAUGUAAUACUAAACUAAGUAGCUGCCUUCAUAGCUGGUGUUAACCAGCCCAAUUUCUAUUACACUGGUGAUUUUUUGUAUCACACACUUGAAAAGCGACACUUGAAGUAAUUUCUCUUCUCUGAGAAAGCUCAGGGAGUUUCUAGCUGUGUAAACCUCUUUCCCUCCAUCUUCAAACCCCAGGACAGCAUUACACAGACUGAAGCAGAGCAGGCUCAUAGCUGGGCAGGUAGAGGGAGGACACCCUCGAGUUCCUCUGCCCCCUCCCCAGGCUGUGCAGGGCACACUGCUUCCCUCAGCACAACUCUAUACCUCCAGGUAAAAAGUAAAUCCAGGGCAAGAGAUUGUAAUUGGAUCCAAUAUUAGAAAAUUAUCUCAAAGCUAGUGAAUAUCUUCAGCAGGGGUUUUCUAUCAUAGUUUUAUUGAAUCUGAAAGCAAAAAACCCUGCCAAGCAGCUGUCCCAUUAUAUUUUACUCAUAUCAAAUACUAAUAAGCCUCUGAUAAUUCUGUCUCAGUUACAGCUUUAACCAAUAACAUCACUCUCAUCAGUUUAGCAUCACACUCCUCAGUUUAAUAUGCCCUGAGAGCCUUACCUAAUCUGUCAUUACAAUAUUUGUCUGAUACUUUACCACCCACUCAGGCUACUGUGCUGCCGGUUCUGCUCUUUAGAAAUGAUAAAGCUGGAUUUACAUCUUCACUGUCAUUAUUGUAAAUAGAGAAAAUGGAUAGAACUUCCUUUUGGAUCUGAGUUUUUGUUCUCAAUAUGAGCUCCCCAAGGUUAUUAGAAAAUCAGGGAGACUGGAAACCAAAGGCAGUCCCACAGCUGAAGCGUAAAAAAUAUAUUUAGGAGAAAACUACUGAGUAAGAGAUCUUUAUGUUAUUCCCACAGGAGAGGAAACUGAGCAGCAACUCAAUAACAUUUGUAUCAUUACUUAUUUUUUUUCCUUCAUUUUUCUCUAUUUCGUUAUAUUUAUUUUGAGGAUUUUGUUCCUAAAUGCAACCCUGACAUUUUGAUCACCUAGAAAUAAUACACUGGUUGAAUGGUCCAUUAAAUGGUAAAAGCUAAUCCACAUGCAAAGAAGGGAAGUGGCCACAUAUAUAUAUAAAACCAUUUUUUGUUGUUGUUCUAUACGGCUCCCCCCUAUGCUCCCACUCCCAAUUCUUGUGAUUAAAUCACAGGAAAAAAAUAAUGUUUUUUAAAUAGUUGGAUGAGAUAGAGAAAACCAGCAAAAAAUUCAGGCAGAAUUAUUUUACGAUUCCCACAAAUUUGUCUUUUUUCUCCUCAAGAGUUAAGGGACAGUGUCUGCAAAAUGAUAAUUUCAAAUAAAGGUUGCAAUUUUCCUUUCUCUAUGGAACUCAUGACCUAUUAGCAACAUACAGAGAGAAGCGGGGUUGUCUUGAUCUAUAAACUUUUCUCUUAGAUAAAAACUUCUGAGAGACAGGGAAUUUAAACAUCCAACUUUGGACUGAAAAUAUCUUGGAUUUCCAUAUUUAGCUCUUUGUGUGCUGAAAUUUCUCUCCUUUUAACUGUUUCUUUAAAAUGUUAGGGUUUUUUCUUUUAAUGUAUUCUAAACCUGUUUUUAUUGAGGAAAGCAAGACAAGUACAUAGGAAGAGCAGAAAAAUAACAAUAAAAUCAGCAUAAGUUCUUGCGUAGCCUUUCUGUAGAACAUACAUAUUACCCUUGUUCCAGAAGGGAGGUUUAUCUUGAGUUUGCUGUUUUAUAGUAUUUAGAUAUAUACAAAUUGUUGCGUAUUGUUUUAAUGAGGGGAGUAGAAAAUCUGAAAUUCCACACUAACAGGAAUGAGUUCCCAUUUACUCUUUAGUUUCUCUUUUUCUCCAUCCGUGGUAAUAGCCCUAGAGAUCUGCUAUGGAGAAGGCAGGGGAUUUUAGUAAUUGAGUGGUAAGAUACUUUCCUUGCCCUUAGAGAUAAGUCUGUAACCCGCUGAGCAGAUUCCCCAGGGCAUCACAGCAACUGAGAAAAAAAUUUUGGGUACUCAGUAAAAAUCACAUAGGAAAAAUACCUGCAGAGACCAUUUCGCUUUGGGAAUGGGACUGAUAUAUCCCACGAGGAAUGAUACAAGAUUUGAUGCAAGCAUAAUCUCUUUCUGUUCACCCUUAAAGAACUUUUAAGAAAUAAAUAUAACACUGCCCUCAGGACAAAGCAAGAGGUCCACGGGAAAUGGCCACAGAUCUGUGCACAGCAGAACUGGUUUGAUGGGACUCAGGUGGUUGGAAACUGAGCUGUAGCAAUUGCUGUAGCAAAAGCAGCUCCCCAGGAAACCCUAAUACAUGAAUUUCAGACAAGUAAUUCUGCCCCUGUGUGUGCCAAGGAGCUUGGCUGUCAGGCUGCUCAUCCAGAGUGACACUCCCGUGGAUCUAACUCACCCCUGUGGGCUCUGAGCUCUUAAUCACGGACUGUCCUCUUUGGGGAGUGUGAGAGAAGCCCCGCUUGAUUUAAUUAAGACAAGAGACGAGCUGACUGGGAGCCUUUGGAAGAACAGAAGUCUCUGACUCUUCCAUUGGGUUAUCUUCCCACUUGAAAGUGAGGGGCUAGGUCUCAGCAUCCACUCUCCCCUAUUUUACCCCAGCUUACAACCUGGCCCCUAGUUAUUUUUGGAAGGUGCAGGGGAAAAGAGAGACUUUCAUAGAUCUAAUCUCUCUGCUAGUGAGUGUGUAGGGAUUUGGUUAAAUAUCUAUUCCAUUAAAGAGAGAACUGAGGUAAGUGAGAAAGAGGAGACAUUUAGGAAGGUGAAGAGGAAUUUCCUUAGGGUAUCUGGGAAGAGCACCUGCCUGUGACACAGACUGUGAUGCUCUUGAUACUCACCAGGCAUAGCAGGACUGGAAGAAGGGAGUGAGGAAGAAGAUGCCCAGAUAAGGGUCCAUGUGAAAUAUAAAAUCCAAAUAAAGAGGGAGAAAGGAGAUCCUAAAAAAAACCCCAAACUUGGGUACCACCACCACCAGAGAAAGGGGGAAAAAAAAAAGAAGCACAACUAAUUUAGGGAAGGGAUGGAGUUAUUUUCCACCCGGCAGUCCUGGUGUGAUGAAGAGGCGGAUGCCUCCUGAAUCCCACCUUCUGUGAAGGAUAACCAAUCCUAAAGUAAGAGCUAAAGGGGGCUGGUGAAAUGGAGCCGCAGAACUUCCUAAGAAGAGAUUAUCUACUUAAUUAAAGAUUUUUUUUCCCCUAAGUCCUUCAGCCAAUCAGGACUCAAGUGCCAGAGAGAGAUUGAACUGAUGAAAAGAACACCCCAGGUUCCUCGAAGACAAAUGCACCACGAAAGGGAUAAGAGGGAGGGAAAAGGAGGGGGGAAAGAAAAAAAGAAAGAAAAAAAAAAAGAGAGAGAGGGAUAAAGAAAGAGACAGCAAAUCCCUUAAAGUAAUCACUAGGUUCAAUCUCCACCAGCACUGCCCUCGCGCUCCAUUCCCGGCAAAGGCAACUGGAAGGGCUGCUUUUGAAGUGUCCUCUCCUUCUCCUGCCUUGGAGACACUGCUGAGCUGGGGUGCCCUGGGUCCUCUGGGCUGGGGGGAUUGGGUUCAGGCUGUCUGCAUCUUCGGCUUGGGUCACAGAUAUGAGAUCAUUGUCUCUGCCUCAGUCUCCCCCAGAAGUUUAAGGAGGAUCAGGGACAGUUCCUACCUUCAUAUGCUUCUCCUUCAUCAUGGUGACCUGCUCUUUCUUCCCACCUCCUGUUUGCAUCAGGCCAUCCUCUCCCCAGAAGAAAGGCCUCUGGCUAAACCUUCCUAUUCCCCCUUAAUUUUUUGCUUUUGGCAUUUCCUAUAAAGUCCAUAGGAGGGGGUCUUUGGUUUGGGUUAACAGUCUCUCACUAAGGGUUUAUCCCAGGCCAGCAGCUGCUGGAGCUACUUAGAAGUGCCUCCAGCCUGUGGCAGCUGGCUACAUGGGACAUCCCAGUUACUGUCACUGCACCCACCACAGAUACCCUGACUGGCCCUAAAGCAACAUGAACAGUUGUGUCAGCAUGUCCCAAAGCCAUAGGAAGAUCUCCACAUUAUGCAAUUGAAUUUUGUGCUGUGGACAUGAUCAGCCAAAACAUGGGCUGAGACCAGUCAAACUCACUUCAUCCAGGGCACAGCUACCAAGCAGAAGUGCUGGACCCAGGCAGGAUUUGAAGAGGACUGAGACCGUGUGGCUGAGCCAUCAGGCAGGGCUGGCAGCAGGUUGAGCUUUGCUUGGGGAUGCUUCAGGUGGAUGAAAGUCCCUCCUGGGCUGCAGAGUCUAAGGAAAGGAAAGCUGCUCAGCAGAGGUUUGCUCUCUGAUGGAUUUUGGCUGUCUCACACUGAGCCCAGCUGUGCUGAAGUCAGGGAGCCCUCGCCAGGCACAGCACGUAGGACACUGCUGGCAAAACAGUGCCUUUGCCCAGAGCACUGCCUGUCCAGCCAGGGCUCUCCCUCGCCCCAAGGGUGGCUGGGCAGUUUCUGGACACCUAGAAGAGGAGGAAAUGCAGGUGGAGGAAAUGGCAGCAAUUUAUCCCAGGGCCAGCUGUGCCCCCAGCUGUGUCCUAUUACAGCAAGACUGAUGGUACUUGCACUUAUUAAAGCCCCAGGUCUUGGAGCACUGAGCAUUUUAAAAACUAGGGUGUUAUGUAUGCUGAGAAAAAGCUUGAGAAUUUGUCUAGUAGAAAAUAAAACCCCAAAAACUGAAAGGUGAGGGAAAUGAGCCCUUUAUUUAUUCUUAAAUUAUUUUUUAAGAAUACCAUUUAAAAUUAUUAAUUAUAUUGAAACAAAAUUUCAAUGCUGUGAUGUUUAGCGCUGUUUAAUUAUUUUUAUGGUCUAAUUCAAGUAGUGGAGGUAGCUGUGCUCCCCCUCCUAGGCUGUCCUGGACUCGGUGCAGAGAGCAGCUGCAGAGGCUGAUGCUGCCUCAGAGGAGCUGAAGGUCUGCCAAGGGGCUCAGUCUCACUGGAACAGCAGUGGUGACAUGCAGGAGAUGCCACCAUCCUGCAUUUGGCAUCUAUUUCUGAUGGUAGAAAGGGGAAGAAUUUUUAGUUGUUUUUUGUAAAUCUCCAACUGUCUAUUUCAAGAUUCUUGAGCUGAAGUUUUCACAUUUCUCAGGUCCGGCAGCAACAGCAUUUUGAAAUCAUGCAACUCUUCAGAUAUUUCUUGACCAAUUGGAAAGGAAAGACUCCAUUGGGUUCACUGGGGUGAGCUGUUUUUGUUACUCCACAACAAAUUAAGUAAGAAGAUUACAAAAAGUAGGAAAAAAAAUAAUAGUAGGUGGAUCCAAAAUAAACAGAUGCAAUUAAUUGUUUUUAUUUACUGUUGCAAGAAGCACCCAGGCCUUUCUCUGAGCUCACAGAAGCACCAGCAGCUUUGGAAACAUCAGCCUCCUCUGUCAACAUCUACUUUCAAUUAAAUGCAAUACUCAUUUUCCUGGAAGCAAGCUUGUUUUUCAAACCAAAGGAGCUGGAGGCGAAGUCUGAAACAAAACUGUUCCACACACGUUUCAAAGUAUUUAAUUACGGUUCUAAAAAGCUAUUAAAAAGAUUCUAAGAAGCACUGUCUAAAGAAGUGAGAUGGGAAAUUGUUUAUCAUGUUCCUCAAAUUUUGUUAUUGUUAAUGACAAAAGCUCUGUAAAUUUACUAAAUGAAUGCAGAGAGAAGUAAAACACAUUUUAUAGCCAGAUCUGGAACCUUACCUCACUUGACCCGCUGGCCAAUACAGAUCUUUUCUGACCUUUGCACUGAGUACUGUGAUGUGUGUUUGAGUAUUUGUUCAUUUCCCAGAAUGGCAGGCAGGGCUUGAAGACAACAGCAGAUAGAGAACCUGCCACCUUCUGCAGUAAUUACUUCCAUUUUAUUAAAAAAACAAACAAACAAACAAAAAACCCCAAAAAACAGCAACAACAACAACAAAAUCCCACCAAAACAAAAACACACCAAAUUUUAAUAUAAUAUGUCUAAGUUUAAUUUCCAGAGUACAGAGAAAAUCUGAACUAUCCUAAAAGAACUUGUACAAGUUAUCACAGAAGUCAGAGAAAAAGUGAAAAAUAAGACCUGUAACACUCCUGCUUCCUUCUACCCCAGUACCAAUGCAACAGAUGCAUAUGGAAAAAAACGUUACGAAAUGGGGGUAAUAAUUCCAAGUCUGGCUCAUAGAUAUCUCAACAGUUUCUUGGUGUCAAUGCAAAGUGCUCAAAGAACAGAUUUGUUAAAACAGAAUGGGCAUGAAAAAGGUCAAGAAAUAAUUUGACAUUUCUUCUGUUAAAAGAUAUGCAAAUGUAUGAGAUCAAAAGAAAAUGAAAUUAAUCUUAUCUAGGCAGCACACUAGAAUUCAAACCUGAAAGGCCUGAAAUAGUCACAGGAAGGUCCGGCUUCCAGUGAAGUAAGUGACUUUCAAUUAUUUUGACUGUAGCUUUGCCUUUUGGACCAACUAAACGCAUCUUUAUUAGUGCCUAAAGUCUGUCAAAACAUCCACCAGCAGCCCAAGAAGGAGCACGUGCUGCUCACAGUCCUGUACUGGAUAUGCCCUGUAGUAUUCUGCUUUAGUCAAGUGGCUCCAGAAACAAAACCAAAUAAAGGCUGGGGAAAUGCAAUAGCUUUCAUGAGAUCAACUAACAUGCAAUAGAAGCAAACAUGGAAUUUUUAGCAUUUUGGCUUUGAAAAGGCAAGAAAGGUGCUGGUGUGCCCAGAAGCCUCUCUGUUUAUUAUCGUGUUUAGCUGUAUGAGUCUGAGAUUGUGCCAUUAAAGACAGUAUUGACACACCAGAAAACGUCAACAGUGAUGCGACCUCUUUGCUGUAAGCUUGAUUUUGUAACUUAGCACUGCUCCCCCACGCUGUUCUGUGCAUGGGUGACGCACGCAGAGCAGCCUCCUGUGAGGUCUGCUUGUGCUUUACCAGUGCUGAGAGCAUCCUCACAUUUGUAGGUUCUCCAUAAGGUUCAUGCAGGGACAGCUCAGUGGAUCCUUAUCCACUGCAGUGAUCUGUGGGAUGGGACACAUCCAUCAUAUGCAUCAUAGGAAAUUACUUGACCUGAGGAAGCAGACCUGAGGAACCCACAAAAAUCUACUUGGAGCCAGCUUAAACAGGUCCACUGUUGCACCAGAGACAUAUAUUUUCUUUCCUUUUCAGGCUCUCAGUGCUCCCUUCAAUAAUAUUUGGAAUAUUUGUAAACAAAA